rnacentral:rRNA from 1 species
GACGAACGCUGGCGGCGUGCCUAAUACAUGCAAGUAGAACGCUGAAGGAGGAGCUUGCUUCUCUGGAUGAGUUGCGAACGGGUGAGUAACGCGUAGGUAACCUGCCUGGUAGCGGGGGAUAACUAUUGGAAACGAUAGCUAAUACCGCAUAAUAGUAGAUGUUGCAUGACAUUUGCUUAAAAGGUGCAAUUGCAUCACUACCAGAUGGACCUGCGUUGUAUUAGCUAGUUGGUGGGGUAACGGCUCACCAAGGCGACGAUACAUAGCCGACCUGAGAGGGUGAUCGGCCACACUGGGACUGAGACACGGCCCAGACUCCUACGGGAGGCAGCAGUAGGGAAUCCUCGGCAAUGGACGGAAGUCUGACCGAGCAACGCCGCGUGAGUGAAGAAGGUUUUCGGAUCGUAAAGCUCUGUUGUAAGAGAAGAACGAGUGUGAGAGUGGAAAGUUCACACUGUGACGGUAUCUUACCAGAAAGGGACGGCUAACUACGUG